AUUGAACGCUGGCGGCAUGCCUUACACAUGCAAGUCGAACGGCAGCACGGGAGCAAUCCUGGUGGCGAGUGGCGAACGGGUGAGUAAAGUAUCGGGACGUGCCCAGUCGUGGGGGAUAACGUAGCGAAAGUUACGCUAAUACCGCAUACGAUCUAUGGAUGAAAGCGGGGGAUCGCAAGACCUCGCGCGAUUGGAGCGGCCGAUAUCAGAUUAGGUAGUUGGUGGGGUAAAGGCUCACCAAGCCGACGAUCUGUAGCUGGUCUGAGAGGACGACCAGCCACACUGGGACUGAGACACGGCCCAGACUCCUACGGGAGGCAGCAGUGGGGAAUUUUGGACAAUGGGCGAAAGCCUGAUCCAGCCAUGCCGCGUGCAGGAUGAAGGCCUUCGGGUUGUAAACUGCUUUUGUACGGAACGAAAGGGUUUGGGCUAAUAAGCUGAGCUCAUGACGGUACCGUAAGAAUAAGCACCGGCUAACUACGUGCCAGCCGCCGCCGUAA
rnacentral:rRNA from 1 species